UACGAAGGGAGCUAGCGUUGUUCGGAAUUACUGGGCGUAAAGGGUGCGUAGGCGGUUUGACAAGUCAGAUGUGAAAGCCCCGAGCUCAACUCGGGAACUGCGUUUGAGACUGUUUUACUAGAAUUCGGGAGAGGUGAGUGGAAUUCCCAGUGUAGAGGUGAAAUUCGUAGAUAUUGGGAAGAACACCGGUGGCGAAGGCGGCUCACUGGACCGGCAUUGACGCUGAGGCGCGAAAGCGUGGGGAGCAAACAGG
rnacentral:rRNA from 1 species